UACGUAGGGGGCAAGCGUUGUUCGGAAUUACUGGGCGUAAAGGGCGCGUAGGCGGCAUGGCAAGUCAGGAGUGAAAGGCCUGGGCUCAACCGAGGAACUGCUUUUGAUACUGCCAAGCUAGAGUGCGGAAGGGGCAACUGGAAUUCCCAGUGUAGCGGUGAAAUGCGUAGAUAUUGGGAAGAACACCUGAGGCGAAGGCGGCUUGCUGGGCCGACACUGACGCUGAGGCGCGAAAGCCAGGGGAGCAAACGGG
rnacentral:rRNA from 1 species